rnacentral:rRNA from 1 species
GAUGAACGCUGGCGGCGUGCCUAAUACAUGCAAGUCGAGCGAACAGACGAGGAGCUUGCUCCUCUGACGUUAGCGGCGGACGGGUGAGUAACACGUGGAUAACCUACCUAUAAGACUGGGAUAAAUUCGGGAAACCGGAGCUAAUACCGGAUAAUAUAUUGAACCGCAUGGUUCAAUAGUGAAAGACGGUUUUGCUGUCACUUAUAGAUGGAUCCGCGCCGCAUUAGCUAGUUGGUAAGGUAACGGCUUACCAAGGCGACGAUGCGUAGCCGACCGGAGGGGGUGAUCGGCCACACUGGAACUGAGACACGGUCCAGACUCCUACGGGAGGCAGCAGUAGGGAAUCUUCCGCAAUGGGCGAAAGCCUGACGGAGCAACGCCGCGUGAGUGAUGAAGGUCUUCGGAUCGUAAAACUCUGUUAUUAGGGAAGAACAAAUGUGUAAGUAACUAUGCACGUCUUGACGGUACCUAAUCAGAAAGCCACGGCUAACUACGUG